GACGAACGCUGGCGGCAUGCCUAACACAUGCAAGUCGAACGGAGUUUCUCAAAUGGAUCCCUUCGGGGUGAAGCUUUUGAAACUUAGUGGCGGACGGGUGAGUAACGCGUGGGUAACCUGCCUUGUACAGGGGGAUAACAGUUGGAAACGGCUGCUAAUACCGCAUAAGCGCACAGCACCGCAUGGUGCAGUUAGGAAAGGAGCAAUCCGCUGAUAGAUGGGCUUGCGUCUGAUUAGCUAGUUGGUGGGUAAAGGCCUACCAAGGCGACGAUCAGUAGCCGGACUGAGAGGUUGAACGGCCACAUUGGGACUGAGAUACGGCCCAGACUCCUACGGGAGGCAGCAGUCGGGAAUAUUGCGCAAUGGAGGAAACUCUGACGCAGUGACGCCGCGUAUAGGAAGAAGGUUUCGGAUUGUAAACUAUUGUCGUUAGGGAAGAUACAAGACAGUACCUAAGGAGGAAAG
rnacentral:rRNA from 1 species